UAAAGCCGUGUGAAGCGAGAGUUUCACGCACGGUUUAUUGAGAAGCUUGGGGUGAAACUCCCCUUGCUUACUCGGC
rfam:Bacteroidia bacterium 44-10 SCNpilot_bf_inoc_scaffold_4869, whole genome shotgun sequence.